UAUCAAUUACACAUUUCUUCCGCGUGACCAACAAAGGCGCAACGUUUCAAUCUGAGCCCAUUUCUUCCAACCCAGCUUCUGCGUAAGAAAGGGAAGGGAGCACCACUAGGGUUUCGUGACAGCUGCCGCUUGCUUUUCCAUCUGCACCUUCACCAUCCACCAGCCCAAUUUGAAGAUUUUUCUACACUGCCGACCCAACAUCCACUUCCAUUAUUUGGCAGCCACAUUAGGAUUCCAGUCACGCAUUCUGUCUUGCGUGCCAUCACUUCUUCACGGCACCUGCUACUUCAUAGCCUUAGAUUAGGAUAUCGCCAUUAGGAUUGUUAGAAUGACGUUCUCUUCUCCUUGUUCUGUUAAAACUCUCAUGGUGGUCUUCUCACUAUAAAAGGCCAGCCAGCUAUCGUAAACCCAGCUUUUGAUGAAUGAGAUAUUCGGUAGAGAACACUCUCGCCGUUCAUCAGCUCACCAUAAGCCCUAGGUUAGGUCGUUACCUACUCGGGUUCCCCCAAACUAGUGAGAAACCAUAGCUAACCGAGCAUCAUAUUCAUUCCGUUGCGUUUCCCUCGCUCUCUGCGAGAUUCAAUCGGUAGAACACCGAUUGGGAGAGGUUUUUCGGCGACUAUCGCGACGGAGGAGCCUCAUCAAAGUGGUAUUCAGAGCCACUUCUGCUGGACCGCGAUCAGAUAAACUUCUUCUUUAUCUCUGGAUUUUUUUUCGUAUCUUUUUGAUUCCGUAUUGUUCCUGUUCUGUUGCGUCUUUUCUGAUUUUCGAAGUUUUCCUUGCUUCUCUGUUUGAAUCAGUGUUACUUAUGUGUUUACUAUUGAAAUUGAUUCAUAGUGCUUGUUCUCUUUUUUUCUGAAUCAAUACCGUGAUGAUUUCAUGUUUAGCUCUCUGAAUCUGCCGCUUAAUGCAUGUCUGUUAGGUUUUAAUUUCAGUUUUGAUUACCUAGCUUUAAAUUUUAUAAUCUUGUGUUUUUGUCUUAGGUUUUGUUAGUUCGUUUUCUAUGUCAAUGAUUCCAUAGAUGUUGUCUAAUUUGCGUAUUGUCACUGUUUUAUCUCGGUUUCAGUCCUUGUUUGGUCUAUCACAUGCUUCGUUUCUGUUCUGGUGUAUUGUGGAGUUCAUAUAUUGCUACUAGAUCAAUAGUAAUAUUCUGCAGUGUUUCAGUUUUCAUUGUUUCGUGUUUCACUCAUGCUGAGUUUGUAUUUGUCCGAGUUGUCAUUGCUUGUGGAUUUCGCAAUAAUUUUUUAUGAUCAAUGGCUAUCUGUGCUUUUGAUUUGUGUUGUUGUGCUGCACUUUGAAUCUGCUGGCCAAGGAUUGCUCCUGAUCGAAGCACCUAUUGAGUAAGCCACCACUGUGUUCUCUGAUUUGUAUCAGCAUAUAUAACUGGAAACUCAUGCUUUGAUCUAGGAUUUCAUAGGUUGUUUCAACACCUUAAUUUUUGUGCAUUUUGGCUUAUUGAAUUAGUGCCUGGCCAGUUAGUUGCUGUUGGUGCAGUUUUGCAAAUAUUUUCACAGUCUCUGCUACUUGCUCUAAGUUUGAAACUGUAUAUGUUUUUCAUGUGUUUGCUAUAUCACUAUUUUUGUAUCUAUGAUUAGCUUAGUGUCUAGUGUUUUUGAGAUUUCUUGUGUCUCUUGAGUGUAGUCGUUUUCUAACCUGACUUUGCUUAUCUAGUGUGGGUUUAGUUGCUCAUGUUUCUACCUAUCUGCAUAUGUUGAUUUUGCCUUGUGCGUAUGUUUGUUGGAAGCAGGCUAUUAUUGUUGCAACUGGGUUUAUUCUUGUGUUGCUUUGCUCCAUAGAUGUGCAGUUUGUGUUUCCACAGAUUAUGGCCAUUAAAAAUUGUUGCAGAUGUUGCAUUCUGUCUUGCCUGUUCUUGUGGCUAUAUAUUGUUAUGCAACGAUAAAUUUGUGCAUUCUGUUUUGCUUGAAAGUUGCUGCUAUGGCCCAGUUUUAGUGCAGUUGAUUGCUUUUGUUUGACUCACUUUUCCGUUGCAGUCUGCUGCAUAGUCUAGUUGUUGGAAAUUUCUAGUUCCUUGCAUCUGCACUGCACUGUCUGAGAGUUUCAUGUUGUCUUAUGUGUUUUUCACCUUUGUUUUUUUUUCUUUUUGAGUUGAAUCUCUUGAAAUAUGCCAUAUGCAUUUGUUCAUUGAUUUGGUGGUCAAAAAUUGCAUUUUGUGUGAACUAUUUUUCACGUUUUUGAUAGCUGAUAAGAAAAAGAGAAUGCAAUCAUUGAAAAGAAAAAGAAUGUUUGAUGAGUACAAAAGCAUCUGAAAGCGACUGAAUCAGUCUUGAUUGCAUUUGAACACAUUAUUUGUUCAGCACAAUAUACGCUGUCUUGCACAGUUCGCAACUGCUUACUAUUUUUUUUUCAAUGACAAUUGCAUAUGCUCUUGAUUCAACUUAAUUUGAGUCUUUGUUUGCUUUUGGUUUUGUUCAUCUUAAUCUAGAUACAUUCCUUAGGUUCUCUUUUGUGUGCCUCCUUUCUCAAAUUUGAACUUUUAUUGUUUUCUGCUUUUACUCUCAAAUGUGGCUGACUGAUCAUUUGCUCUUGGUUCAUUUGGCUUGCACUCACUGUUUUUGGUAGCCUUGUAGGUGAUACCCUUUCUGCAAGGUGAAGCUGUGGUGAGGAAAAACCAAUUGAGUGGCCACCGAGAGGAAAAAUGACCCGCUUUUGUAAGCUACCAAUUGGUAUUAGGCCUUCACAACACUUCCAACCAGCGUGCAUACAGAUGUGGGCCGAGAAGCCUGCUUUAACUCCUGGUGUGGAUCAGCAACGUAUUCAAAGCACAUUUCUUCAUAAUCAACAUUUGUUUUCAACACGUGGAGUGACUUGGGCCUAGAUGCUUGUCAUAUCUUUCCGAAGCCCAUUACCACACCUAUCAUUACAACAACACCCGCAUCACAGUUGUUUCUGCUUGCACACCUUCACGCGUCAACAAAGUUGAAGCCCACUUUCUUUCUCUCCAAAUUGAAGCUAUGCAUGCAUUUCUGCUAAAAACACGAUUGCGACCCAUGCCUCCAAACCAUUCACGAGUGCUGCUAUCAUGCCAACACGUGUUGGGCUACCAACCCAAUUUCACGCUCCAGUUCACCAAUGCUGUUAAACCAACAUUCCUUCUGUUAGAGCACCGCUAGGGUUCCUGGAUCCCCAUCAAUUAUACAUUUCUUCCGCGUGUCCAACAAAGGCGCAUCGUUUCAACCCGAGCCCAUUUCUUCCAACCCAGCUUCUGCGUAAGAAAGGGAAGGGAGCAUCACUAGGGCUUCGUGACAGCUGUCGUUUGCUUUUCGAUCUACACCUUCACCAUCCAGCAGCCCAAUUUGAAGAUUGCUCAACGCUGCCGAUCCAACAUCCACUUCCAUUAUUUGGCAGCAACGUUAGGAUUCCAGUAACGCAUUCUGUCACGCGUGCCAUCACUUCUUCAUGGCACCUGCUACUUCAUAGCCUUAGAUUAGGAUCUCGCCGUUAGGAUUGUUAGAAUGUCGUUCUCUUCUCCUUGUUUUGUUAAAACUUUCAUGGUGGUCUUCUCACUAUAAAAGGCCAGCUAGCUAUUGUAAACCCAACUGUUGAUGAAUGAGAUAUUCGAUAGAGAA